AGCAGCCGCGGUAAUUCCAGCUCCAAUAGCGUAUAUUAAAGUUGUUGCAGUUAAAAAGCUCGUAGUUGAAUUUCGGGAUCAAUAUGUUGGUCGUGCCUUGGUACGUACUGGCGUCAUUGGUUUCUACCUUCUGAAGAACCUCGAUGUCAUUAAUUUGGUGUCUUGGGGAAUCAGGACUGUUACUUUGAAAAAUUAGAGUGUUUAAAGCAAGCUCACGCUUGAAUACAUUAGCAUGGAAUAAUGAAAUAGGACGUUUGAUUCUAUUUUGUUGGUUUCUAGGAUCGACGUAAUGAUUAAUAGGGAUAGUUGGGGCAUUAGUAUUCAAUUGUCAGAGGUGAAAUUCUUGGAUUUAUUGAAGACUAACUACUGCGAAAGCAUUUGCCAAGGAUGUUUUCAUUAAUACAAGAACGAAAGUUAGGGGAUCGAAGACGAUCAGAUACCGUCGUAGUCUUAACCAUAAACUAUAGCCGACUAGGGAUCGGAUGAUGUUAAUUUUAU
rnacentral:rRNA from 1 species